CAUAUAUAAGUUUGGCAUCUCUGGACGAGGAUUUGCACUGCGGAGCUGGGCAGAGCUGCAAUCAGGACCUCAGCGAACUCAACCAUGAAGGCAUCUGGGGCCCUUCUGCUGCUCGCCCUUGCCACCUGGUGUUUCUCCAAUACUGCCGGAGCCAGCUUGAGAGAGGACUUUAUCACGAGCAUGCAGGAUGUCGUGAUGAGCAUCAAGCGCUGCAAGUCUGAUUUACAUGGAGGGCUGGCAACCUCCCUCCGCAGCAUUGAGAACAACAUAAUAAAGACUGAAAAUGGU